GAGGGAAAAAUUAAUAAAAAAAAAUCUUAAUAAAAAAAUUUUUAAAGUAAAAAUAUUUAAUGGGGGUUAAAGUAUUUUUAAUGGAAAAAAUUAAAAGAUUUAUAGUUAAUUAGUAUUGUAAAAGAUUUUUGAAAUAGUUGAAAAGUAAUUUUUGAGAAAGUAAAUUUAAUUUGUUGUAUCUUGUGUAUCAGAGUUUAUUAAAAAUUUUUUUAAUUUUAAUAUUUCUCGAAUUUAAAUGAGUUAACUAAUUAAUAAAGUUAUUAUAGCAUAAAUAUUUUUAAUAAUUAGUUGGAAGUGAAAUGUUAAUCGUUUUUAAAUAUAUCUAGUUAUUUUAGAAAAAAAUUUAAUUUUUAUUUAAAUUAAAAAAUAAAAUAAAUAUUUAUUUUAUUUUUUAAUUUAAUUAAAUAAUUUAGGGGAUAAGCUUUAAAUUAAAUUUUUAUAAUGAAUAUUAAGAUUAUUAAAAAUUUUAUAAUUUAUAUUGUUAAUAAAUUUUAUUUUAUUAUAAAUAAUUUUAAAGAGGAAUAAAAUUUAAUUUUAAUUUAUUUAAUUUUUUAUAAAAAAGAUUAUAUAAAUAAAAAAUAUAAUGAAAUUAUGAUAAAAUUAGUAAAUGAAUUAAAAAUAAGAAGGUUUAUUUAAAUUUGUAAAUUAUAUUUAAGGAAUUCGGCAAAAAUUUAUAUUCACUUGUUUAUCAAAAACAUGUCUUUUUGUUAAUAAUUUAAAGUCUAAUCUGCCCACUGAUGGUAUAUUAAAGGGCUGCAGUAUUUUGACUGUACAAAGGUAGCAUAAUCAUUAGUCUCUUAAUUAGUGACUUGUAUGAAAGAUUGGAUGAAAUAUAAACUGUCUUAAUUAUAUUUAUUAGAAAUUAAUUUUUUAAUUAAAAAGUUAAAAUAAUUUAAAAAGACGAGAAGACCCUAUAGAGUUUUAUUUUUAUUUAAAUUUUAAUUAUUUAUAAAUUUAUUAAAUUAUUAAUUUACAUGAAAAUUUUAUUGGGGUGAUAAAAAAAUAAAAAUAACUUUUUUUUUUAUUAGACAUAAAUAAUUGAAUUUUUGAUCCAGUUUUAUUGAUUAAAAGAAAAAAUUACCUUAGGGAUAACAGCGUAAUUUUUUUUUUUAGUCCUUAUAAGAAAAAAAGUUUGCGACCUCGAUGUUGGAUUAAGAUAAAAUUUAGACGCAAAAGUUUAAAAUUUUUGAUCUGUUCGAUCAUUAAAAUCUUACAUGAUCUGAGUUCAAACCGGUGUAAGCCAGGUUGGUUUCUAUCUUUUAAAUAUUUAAUAUUUUAGUACGAAAGGAGUAAAUAUUAUAAUUAAAUUAAUAUUUAAAGAAUUUUAUUAAUUAAAUAAUUUAAAUUUAAUUUAAAAUAGAAUUUAAUUUAUAUAGAAUAACUA
rnacentral:rRNA from 1 species